ACUCAAAGGAAUAGACGGGGGCUCACACAAGCGGUGGAGCAUGUGGCUCAAUUCGAAGCAACGCGAAGAACCUUACCUGGGUUUGACAUGCACGGAUUAACUCCCGGAAACGGGAGCCACACCCUUCGGGUGGAACGUGCACAGGUGCUGCAUGGCUGUCGUCAGCUCGUGCUGUGAAGUGUCGGGUUAAGUCCCUCAACGAGCGAAACCCCUGUCGAUAGUUGCUAACGGGUAAUGCCGAGGACUCUAUCGAGACCGCCGGUGUCAAACCGGAGGAAGGUGGGGAUGACGUCAAGUCCUCAUGGCCUUUAUGCCCAGGGCUGCACACGUGCUACAAUGGCGUCGACAGAAUGAUGCAAGACCGCAAGGUGGAGCAAAACGCUUAAAAGACGCCCCAGUUCGGAUUGGAGGCUGCAAUUCGCCUCCAUGAAGUCGGAAUCGCUAGUAAUCGCGGAUCAGCUACGCCGCGGUGAAUAAGUUCCUGAGCCUUGUACACACCGCCCGU
rnacentral:rRNA from 1 species